rnacentral:rRNA from 1 species
AGAAUCAACGCUGGCGGCGUGCCUAACACAUGCAAGUCGAACGAGAAAGUGGAGCAAUCCAUGAGUAAAGUGGCGCACGGGUGAGUAACACGUGACUAACCUACCCUUGAGUGGGGGAUAACUGAGGGAAACCUUAGCUAAUACCGCAUAAUACCCACGGGUCAAAGGAGCAAUUCGCUCGAGGAGGGGUCGCGGCCGAUUAGUUAGUUGGCAGGGUAAUGGCCUACCAAGACGAUGAUCGGUA